GACGAACGCUGGCGGCGUGCCUAAUACAUGCAAGUUGAGCGCUGAAGGUUGGUACUUGUACCAACUGGAUGAGCAGCGCACGGGUGAGUAACGCAUGGGGAAUCUGCCUUUGAGCGGGGGACAACAUUUGGAAACGAAUGCUAAUACCGCAUAAAAACUUUAAACACAAGUUUUAAGUUUGAAAGAUGCAAUUGCAUCACUCAAAGAUGAUCCCGCGUUGUAUUAGCUAGUUGGUGAGGUAAAGGCUCACCAAGGCGAUGAUACAUAGCCGACCUGAGAGGGUGAUCGGCCACAUUGGGACUGAGACACGGCCCAAACUCCUACGGGAGGCAGCAGUAGGGAAUCUUCGGCAAGAGACGAAAGUCUGACCGAGCAACGCCGCGUGAGUGAAGAAGGUUUUCGGAUCGUAAAACUCUGUUGGUAGAGAAGAACGUUGGUGAGAGUGGAAAGCUCAUCAAGUGACGGUAACUACCCAGAAAGGGACGGCUAACUACGUG
rnacentral:rRNA from 1 species